UUGGUCGAGCUGGGACUUCUGAGGACAGCCCGGGCUGUUUGAGGACAUCCUGGGCUCAAGCCAUUUACUCCUGAAUGAAGAUGCUCUUGAUGGACUGUUUUGUUCUUUGCAGCAGCAGGAAUGAGCCUGGAAGGUCAGUGCCGGUAACCAGACCCGGAAAUCACUGCAGUGUGAUACGGGGUGUUGAAUACAGAGAUCAAUACUGGCUUCCCUCCAUGCCAAACACAGGAGAAGAACUUUCUCCAGCUUCCCCAUAAUUGAACUUCGGAGUAAAGUGGCUGGAAGAGACUCUGUAUUAUUCCCUCAUCCAUUUGUUCAGAGAUAAGGACAUAUGAGCACUGGAAACGUCUAAGGCCUGAUUUAGCCUGACCUUCUGAAUAGCAGACUGUAACAUUUUGUCCAUUAACCUCACCACUGAGCCCACUGACUCAUUUAUGACUGAAACACCUCUUCCACACUUGGUCUGAAGAGACCAUGUGGUGGAUAAUCCAUCCUUUCCCUUAGCAGUUUCUUUUAGUCUCUCCAUUUAAAGAAGUAAUGAUCCUCCUGUCACGUACCUGAUCCGUGAUUCACUGUAGUUUGCAGCCUGCACACGAGAAGGCCAGGACCUGGCUGGAAGGAUGCUGUGGCGGAGGAAUCGGCUCUGAGAAUCCGAGAAGGAAUGGCAUUCCUUGGUCCUUCCCCUCAGCAUGCCCUGACUGGAAGCUCUGGCUGUCAAUGGUACCCAGAGAGAGUUUUGUUGAUGAAAAACGUUCCUUGGAGCCCUCCCAUGCAGGUGCUGAGAGAAUGAGCCAGUUGUUUGGAGAAUUGUUGACUGUCCCCAUGGACAGGUGCCAUUUUGAGUGAAACCACCUCAGACACAGCAUGCAAUUUUCACAGACGUUGCACAGCACCAUGGCAAAGAACAGACCUCGAAGUUCACAAACUGAGUGGAAAUUGCCAGAUAUUUGUGAGUUGAUGGAUAAUUGACAUCAGGAAAUGUUUGCAACUGGCUGCUCAUGAAAGCCUUUGAGGAGCUCUGGACCCUGCGAUUCCCUCCCUUCUGACAAACCCCAUUUUUGGCAGAUACGUCUUGGAGGAUACCUCAGCUGUAAUGGGGUGAGCCAAGGUCUGGAAUGAGGGGCAGGCUGAAAGAGCUCAGUCUGUUUGACUUGCUGAAAAGCAAGCUUGGAGGCAACGUGAUCCUGGGAUGGCAAAAUUCAUGGGUGUCAGUCACUGGUAUGAUGGAAGACGGAUCCUGUCAGAAACAUGUCCAUGUGGUCUGCUUGGCCAAGA